rnacentral:misc_RNA from 1 species
CUCCCCUACUUCUAUUUGCACAUGUCUCAUGAUUCUGUUACACCAGCUGGCACCUCAGCAUGUUUCUUACCUUCACAAUUCCUUCUAUUCCUUCUGUUAACCUUCUCUUCUAGAAUACUCCAUUGCAUAUCCCUAUUAGCACGCCUUUCUAGAGCCUUGCAUCUGGAACAAAGUGCAUGCCUAGGCGCAUAAGGUGAGGGCCUGGUUAAUGUUACUCAUCUUUCUCCUGUGGAGGCGUUAGGAUUAGAGCCUAGUAAGCCAAGAACCUGAAGCUCUUUAAUAACUAUGCAUGCAACAAAAGAUAGAAGAUGUGUGUAUCAACCAAUUCUUGUGUGCCAACAAAUAACAAUAUGUUUACAAAGAAGAUUUGGAGGAGAAUGCUUGGAACCGAUUAGGUACAAUAGGCAUCAAUGAAAUAGUGACUACCGGAAAAGUGGUGCGUAUGGCUAUGAUGAGAGGGUUUUUCCAACCAUAACUCA